rnacentral:snRNA from 1 species
AUACAUUUCUCGGCCUUUUGGCUAAGAUCAAGUGUAGUAUCUGUUCUUAUCGGUUUAAUAUCUGAUAACCCGAGCCUACGGGUUCGGGGGCAAGCUUAUAGGUUUUACCUAUAUGUUUGCCUUGAUAUUAAUUUUUUUAUAGGGGAAGGACCCUUAAUAUAGUAGCUUGCUACUUGAGGUUCCAUCUGUAUCACCCUUAUUUUGCACUUCCGUGAGGGUUCGGCACACCCGCC